rnacentral:rRNA from 1 species
UGAGGAAUAUUGGUCAAUGGACGAGAGUCUGAACCAGCCAAGUAGCGUGCAGGAUGACGGCCCUAUGGGUUGUAAACUGCUUUUGUUUGGGAAUAAUCGACAUUACGUGUAAUGUUUUGCAUGUACCAUUCGAAUAAGGACCGGCUAAUUCCGUGCCAGCAGCCGCGGUAAUACGGAAGGUCCAGGCGUUAUCCGGAUUUAUUGGGUUUAAAGGGAGUGUAGGCGGUUGGUUAAGCGUGUUGUGAAAUGUAGAUGCUCAACAUCUGACUUGCAGCGCGAACUGGCUGACUUGAGUACACACAACGUAGGCGGAAUUCAUGGUGUAGCGGUGAAAUGCUUAGAUAUGACGAGGAACUCCGAUUGCGAAGGCAGCUGACGGGAGCGGCACUGACGCUUAAGCUCGAAGGUGCGGGUAUCAAACAGG